rnacentral:sRNA from 1 species
CCAAGAAGUGUUAGACGUGGCUGAUCGUCAAGACAGCGAUAAGCGCCGUACACCCAAUGGCAGACCUCAAGAGACGAUUAACGUUAACCUGCGUGCAUAAUCUUGCGGCAAACAGAAGUAUUAAAAGUGUCUUACGGAGCAUGUGAGCAAUGAAAUUACCCAUUUAUUUGGACUAUUC